rnacentral:rRNA from 1 species
UGAACGCUGGCGGCGUGCCUAAUACAUGCAAGUCGAGCGAACAGACGAGGAGCUUGCUCCUCUGAUGUUAGCGGCGGACGGGUGAGUAACACGUGGAUAACCUACCUAUAAGACUGGGAUAACUUCGGGAAACCGGAGCUAAUACCGGAUAACAUGUUGAACCGCAUGGUUCAACAGUGAAAGACGGUCUUGCUGUCACUUAUAGAUGGAUCCGCGCCGCAUUAGCUAGUUGGUAAGGUAACGGCUUACCAAGGCAACGAUGCGUAGCCGACCUGAGAGGGUGAUCGGCCACACUGGAACUGAGACACGGUCCAGACUCCUACGGGAGGCAGCAGUAGGGAAUCUUCCGCAAUGGGCGAAAGCCUGACGGAGCAACGCCGCGUGAGUGAAGAAGGUCUUCGGAUCGUAAAACUCUGUUAUUUGGGAAGAACAAAUGUGUAAGUAACUAUGCACGUCUUGACGGUACCUAAUCAGAAAGCCACGGCUAACUACGUG